rnacentral:lncRNA from 1 species
UUUGGAAAGCCCUACAUUCCUGUCGUUGCUGCUGGAGGAGACAGAUUAGAGAGUCCCUUGUGACCAGAGUGAGACCAGGCUGGCUGAAAGGAGACCCACGAGUCUGGCUUUCUAAGCUAUGUGGCCACCCCAAGGGGGAGUCAGAGUCUUAGUUUGCUGUGUGUUGUGUGGAGAAGGUGGGAGACCCGAGAAGAGGAGCAACAGCCAGCCCCAGACCGUAGUCCUGAGAACUUUGGUGGGAGACAGAGGCAGGCUGUUAGAAUGAUAGUAACAGAGAAUUUCCCUGAAGUGGUCUACUCAGUCCUGCUCACGAUGUGCCUCAAACAAACUCUCAGCAUUCAGGGAGUCUGGUGUUAAAUGGAUGGACUGAAUUGGAGCUGAAACCCAGAACCCACGGCACAGAGGGACAUUUUUACCUGAGAUGGGAAGAGGGGGACUUCUCUGGCCGACCGUUCUAGAAACUCUCCGUGUGCUGCUCAUUCUCUAUCCCCUCCUCCUUCCUCUUCUUCCUCGGCACUUCCUCCGAUUUCCUCGGCUUCGUCUCUUAAUGGCUCUGUUAACAAUCGUUUUUAGUGCCAAUCCUGCCAAGCACACUGGUACAAACUUGCCAUUAAUAUACUCAAAUGAAUGAAGAGCAGUUCCCGAUUCUCUGUCAGGAAGUAGACACCAGCUCCCAGACCAUCUGCUGGGUCAGUGCCAGGAAAGGGUGAAUUACUCAACAGGCA